GUUGUAGUAAUUCCUGUCAGUAGUAAAUAUGAUGAUUAUGCCGAACCGGUAAAUUUAAUUUGAUUCAAAAGAAGUUCCAUGCAGCUGGUUAUCGUGUUGAUACAGACUUGGAUCACGGAUCAACACUAAGUAAGAAAGUUCGCAAUGCACAACUUUCACAGUACAACUUCAUUCUUGACGUCAUGACACUUCCAACAUUGAAACAAAAUCA